GGAGGUGGACAGGGGCUGGUGUCCCUUCCGGUCUUCAAAACCGGCAGGAGGUGUUCGGAGCAUCUCCGGUGGGUUCGAUUCCCAUCCACCACCGCCA
rnacentral:tRNA from 1 species